rnacentral:rRNA from 1 species
UUGACCUCGGAUCAGGUAGGGAUACCCGCUGAACUUAAGCAUAUCAAUAAGCGGAGGAAAAGAAACCAACCGGGAUUGCCUUAGUAACGGCGAGUGAAGCGGCAAGAGCUCAAAUUUGAAAGCUGCCAACAGGCCGCGUUGUAAUUUGUAGAAGAUGCUUUGGGUGCCGGCCUUGUCUAAGUUCCUUGGAACAGGACGUCAUAGAGGGUGAGAAUCCCGUACGUGAUUAGGCCCAACCCCGUGUAAAGCUCUUUCGACGAGUCGAGUUGUUUGGGAAUGCAGCUCAAAAUGGGUGGUAAAUUUCAUCUAAAGCUAAAUAUUGGCCAGAGACCGAUAGCGCACAAGUAGAGUGAUCGAAAGAUGAAAAGCACUUUGGAAAGAGAGUUAAACAGUACGUGAAAUUGUUGAAAGGGAAGCGUUUAUAAUCAGACUUGCGGGCUAUCGAUCAUCCGAGGUUCUCCCCGGUGCACUCGAUUGUUCUCAGGCCAGCAUCGGUUCUAGUGGUGGGAUAAAGGCCGUGGGAAUGUGGCUCUUCGGAGUGUUAUAGCCCACGGUGCAAUGCCGCCUACCAGGACCGAGGACCGCGCUUCGGCUAGGAUGCUGGCGUAAUGGUUGUAAACGACCCGUCUUGAAACACGGACCAAGGAGUCUAACAUCUAUGCGAGUGUUUGGGUGUCAAACCCAUACGCGUAAUGAAAGUGAACGGAGGUGAGAGUCCUUUAGGGUGCAUCAUCGACCGAUCCUGAUGUCUUCGGAUGGAUUUGAGUAAGAGCAUAGCUGUUGGGACCCGAAAGAUGGUGAACUAUGCGUGAAUAGGGUGAAGCCAGAGGAAACUCUGGUGGAGGCUCGCAGCGGUUCUGACGUGCAAAUCGAUCGUCAAAUUUGCGUAUAGGGGCGAAAGACUAAUCGAACCAUCUAGUAGCU